UGGUGUGUGAAGUCUAUGCUAAACAAUGUAUUUUUUAAAGUGGAAAUGUUAGUUCUGUUUUCGGCUCGAUAAAUGAAACAAGCAUAUCAGGAUCGAAUCAAGUAAUCAAGACCAAAUCAGAUGUACAUCAAGACAUAAAAAGCUGCUAUGGAAGAGAAUCAAGGGAUCAAUUCACUCUCAAAGCUCUGUAUUCAUAUUUGUUUUUAACCAUUGAAGAAACAAGGCAGCAAAUGGCAUUGUUACAAGUACAGCUGUAACAGGAGGAGGAGGCUGGUCCAUAAGACUAAAGUACAGUAUUGAUGUUCUCAACUUCUCAUCAUGUGGCAAGACUGAAGCAGUAUGUAAGGGCUAACAAGGUAGAACUCAAAUCACUAACUUCUCAUCAAAGA